rnacentral:rRNA from 1 species
AUUGAACGCUGGCGGCAUGCUUUACACAUGCAAGUCGAACGGCAGCACAGGGAGCUUGCUCCCGGGUGGCGAGUGGCGCACGGGUGAGUAAUACAUCGGAACGUGUCCUGUUGUGGGGGAUAACUGCUCGAAAGGGUGGCUAAUACCGCAUGAGACCUGAGGGUGAAAGCGGGGGAUCGCAAGACCUCGCGCAAUUGGAGCGGCCGAUGCCCGAUUAGCUAGUUGGUGGGGUAAAGGCUCACCAAGGCGACGAUCGGUAGCUGGUCUGAGAGGACGACCAGCCACACUGGGACUGAGACACGGCCCAGACUCCUACGGGAGGCAGCAGUGGGGAAUUUUGGACAAUGGGGGCAACCCUGAUCCAGCCAUGCCGCGUGCAGGAUGAAGGCCUUCGGGUUGUAAACUGCUUUGUCAGGGACGAAAGGACCGUGUUAAUACCAUGGUCUGCUGACGGUACCUGAAGAAUAAGCACCGGC